rnacentral:rRNA from 1 species
UGAGGAAUAUUGGUCAAUGGGCAAAAGCCUGAACCAGCCAAGUCGCGUGAGGGAAGACGGUCCUAUGGAUUGUAAACCUCUUUUGUCGGGGAGCAACGACGCCACGUGUGGCGGAAGGGAGAGUACCCGAAGAAAAAGCAUCGGCUAACUCCGUGCCAGCAGCCGCGGUAAUACGGAGGAUGCGAGCGUUAUCCGGAUUUAUUGGGUUUAAAGGGUGCGUAGGCGGAACGUUAAGUCAGCGGUAAAAUUGCGGGGCUCGACCCUGUACCGCCGUUGAAACUGGCGUUCUAGAGUGGGCGAGAAGUAUGCGGAAUGCGAGGUGUAGCGGUGAAAUGUAUAGAUAUCACGCAGAACUCCGAUUGCGAAGGCAGCAUACCGGCGCCCAACUGACGCUGAGGCACGAAAGCGUGGGGAUCGAACAGGAUUAGUACC